CCUACGGGGGGCUGCAGUGGGGAAUAUUGCACAAUGGGCGCAAGCCUGAUGCAGCCAUGCCGCGUGUGUGAAGAAGGCCUUCGGGUUGUAAAGCACUUUCAGCGGGGAGGAAGGCGUUAAGGUUAAUAACCUUGUCGAUUGACGUUACCCGCAGAAGAAGCACCGGCUAACUCCGUGCCAGCAGCCGCGGUAAUACGGAGGGUGCAAGCGUUAAUCGGAAUUACUGGGCGUAAAGCGCACGCAGGCGGUCUGUCAAGUCGGAUGUGAAAUCCCCGGGCUCAACCUGGGAACUGCAUUCGAAACUGGCAGGCUAGAAUCUUGUAGAGGGGGGUAGAAUUCCAGGUGUAGCGGUGAAAUGCGUAGAGAUCUGGAGGAAUACCGGUGGCGAAGGCGGCCCCCUGGACAAAGACUGACGCUCAGGUGCGAAAGCGUGGGGAGCAAACAGGAUUAGAUACCCGGGUAGUC
rnacentral:rRNA from 1 species